rnacentral:rRNA from 1 species
GUGGGGAAUAUUGGACAAUGGGCGAAAGCCUGAUCCAGCCAUGCCGCGUGUGUGAAGAAGGACUUCGGAUUGUAAAGCACUUUAAGUUGGGAGGAAGGGCAGUAAGUUAAUACCUUGCUGUUUUGACGUUACCGACAGAAUAAGCACCGGCUAACUUCGUGCCAGCAGCCGCGGUAAUACGAAGGGUGCAAGCGUUAAUCGGAAUUACUGGGCGUAAAGCGCGCGUAGGUGGUUUUGUAAGUUGGAGGUGAAAUCCCCGGGCUCAACCUGGGAACUGCCUCCAAAACUGCAUGACUAGAGGACGGUAGAGGGUAGUGGAAUUUCCUGUGUAGCGGUGAAAUGCGUAGAUAUAGGAAGGAACACCAGUGGCGAAGGCGACUACCUGGACUGAUACUGACACUGAGGUGCGAAAGCGUGGGGAGCAAACAGGAUUAGAUACCCCGGUAGUCC